UUGAUAUGGCAGUAUAUCUACUAAAAUUGGAACAAUACAGACAAGAUUAGCAUGGCCCUGUGCAAGGAUGAUGUGCAAAUUUGUGAAGAGAAGCUUAUAGGA
ensembl:snRNA U6 U6 spliceosomal RNA